UGAGAAAUGAAAUUGACAAGAGUGCAAGUCUCCAGACUCAGAACAAAGUUGAAGAGCAAGCUAUGCAAGGAGAAGAUCAGAAUGACAAAAAGAUGCCU